rnacentral:rRNA from 1 species
UACGUAGGGUCCGAGCGUUGUCCGGAAUUAUUGGGCGUAAAGGGCUCGUAGGCGGUUCGUCACGUCGGGAGUGAAAACUCGGAGCUUAACUCCGAGCCUGCUUCCGAUACGGGCAGACUAGAGGUAGGCAGGGGAGAGCGGAACUCCUGGUGUAGCGGUGGAAUGCGCAGAUAUCAGGAGGAACACCGGUGGCGAAGGCGGGGUCUCUGGGCAGUAACUGACGCUGAGGAGCGAAAGCGUGGGGAGCGAACAGG